rnacentral:rRNA from 1 species
UCGCCGCCGACGACGUCGCGAGAAGUCCACUGAACCUUAUCAUUUAGAGGAAGGAGAAGUCGUAACAAGGUUUCCGUAGGUGAACCUGCGGAAGGAUCAUUGUCGAUGCCUGCAAAGCAGAACGACCCGCGAACCGUUUCUCAACGCUCGGGAUGCCGGAGGGCGUCGAGCUCCCCGGUAUCCCGACGCUCCGGACGCCGGCGGUGCGAGCCACCGCCGGCGGAGGGAGCAUCCAACACAACCCCGGCGUGCAAAGCGCCAAGGUACUCCAACGGUAGGGCAAGCAUCCGUCGCCCUGGACUCCAGCGCGCGAUCGGGUGGCUGUUCUGUAGCAUAAAUCUAACGACUNNNGUGUGAAUUGCAGAAUCCCGUGAACCAUCGAGUCUUUGAACGCAAGUUGCGCCCGAAGCCUCGGCUGAGAGCACGCCUGCCUGGGUGUCACACGUCCCUCUGCCUCCAAAACCUUUCCCUUCGUAACAUUCUGGGGAUGGUUUGGAUGCGGAAGAUGGCCUUCCGUGACCANNCCCCUUGGGGCAAUGAAGCCCGCGGUAGCCGCGACGGUCCCCGGUGUAAGACCCAAUCACUAACCAACGCGACCUCAGGUCAGGCGGGGCUACCCGCUGAGUUUAAGCAUAUCAAUAAGCGGAGA